rnacentral:rRNA from 1 species
GUGGAUUAGAUACCCUGGUAGUCCACGCCGUAAACGUUGGGCACUAGGUGUGGGGUCUAUUCAACGGACUCCGUGCCGUCGCUAACGCAUUAAGUGCCCCGCCUGGGGAGUACGGCCGCAAGGCUAAAACUCAAAGGAAUUGACGGGGGCCCGCACAAGCAGCGGAGCAUGUUGCUUAAUUCGAGGCAACGCGAAGAACCUUACCUGGGUUUGACAUGUAGAGAAAAGCCGUAGAGAUACGGUGUCCUUCGGGGUUCUACACAGGUGGUGCACGGCCGUCGCCAACU